AUUGAACGCUGGCGGAAUGCUUUACACAUGCAAGUCGAGCGGCAGCGCGGGGCAACCUGGCGGCGAGCGGCGAACGGGUGAGUAAUGUAUCGGAACGUGUCCUGUCGUGGGGGAUAGCCCGGUGAAAACCGGAUUAAUACCGCAUACGAUCGAGAGAUGAAAGUGGGGGACCGCAAGGCCUCACGCGAUAGGAGCGGCCGAUAUCUGAUUAGCUAGUUGGUGGGGUAAAGGCCCACCAAGGCUUCGAUCAGUAGCUGGUCUGAGAGGAUGAUCAGCCACACUGGGACUGAGACACGGCCCAGACACCUACGCGAGGCAGCAGUGGGGAAUUUUGGACAAUGGGGGCAACCCUGAUCCAGCCAUUCCGCGUGAGUGAAGAAUGCGUGCGGGUUGUAAAGCUCUUUUGUCCGGGAAGAAACGGUUUCACCUAAUACGUGAGACUACUGACGGUACCGGAAGAAUAAGGACCGGCUAACUACGUGCCAGCCGCCGCCGUAAUAC
rnacentral:rRNA from 1 species